rnacentral:rRNA from 1 species
UACAGAGGGUGCAAGCGUUUAAUCGGAAUUACUGGGCGUAAAGCGUGCGUAGACGGUUAUGUAAGUCAGAUGUGAAAGCCCAGGGCUCAACCUUGGAAUUGCAUUUGAGACUGCAUAGCUAGGGUGCGGAAGAGGGAAGCGGAAUUUCCGGUGUAGCGGUGAAAUGCGUAGAUAUCGGAAGGAACACCAGUGGCGAAAGCGGCUUCCUGGACCAGUACCGACGUCAGGCACGAAAGCGUGGGGAGCAAACAGG